rnacentral:rRNA from 1 species
ACGGGAGGCAGCAGUGGGGGAUAUUGCACAAUGGGGGAAACCCUGAUGCAGCGACGCCGCGUGAGUGAUGAAGUAUUUCGGUAUGUAAAGCUCUAUCAGCAGGGAAGAAAAUGACGGUACCUGACUAAGAAGCACCGGCUAAAUACGUGCCAGCAGCCGCGGUAAUACGUAUGGUGCAAGCGUUAUCCGGAUUUACUGGGUGUAAAGGGAGCGUAGACGGCAUAGCGAGCCAGAUGUGAAAUGCGGGGGCUCAACCCCGGAACUGCAUUUGGAACCGUUAAGCUAGAGUAUAGGAGAGGUAAGUGGAAUUCCUAGUGUAGCGGUGAAAUGCGUAGAUAUUAGGAGGAACACCAGUGGCGAAGGCGGCUUACUGGACGAUAACUGACGCUGAGGCUCGAAAGCGUGGGGAGCAAACAGGAUUAGAUACCCUGGUA